CACGCCCCCACCAGAGGCCCCUCCCCAGGAUCCUGGCCUCGGCCGCCACGCUUUAACCAGGAGCGCCAGCUGUGUACCCAACCGCAGGCUGGCCCCUUUAUCCGCUCACGUGGUCUCUCCACGGCCCUGAGAGCUGUGACAACAUCGGACCCAUUUCACAGAUGAUAAACUGAGGCAAGGGAGCCAAGAUGCCUGGUCCAGAGUCUCCAGACAGGUCGCCUCCCUGCCUCCCCAUCACCCAGCGACUUCAAAGCCGACGGAGGAGGACCCAGGCUCAGCGGACUCAGGGGACUUGCCACCUAAUGCUGCCACACUCCCGAGCAGGGGCCCUCCGCUUCGGGCCUCCCUGGUGGGCUGACUCGUGAUUUCAGAGUCCUGACUCGCUUUAGGCCUCCGAGCUCAGCCCUGAGUGACUCCAGAAAUUCCAAAUAAAAACCAGCCAGGCAAUCAAUCUAUACGUCUUUGAAGGCGUGCCACCUCCAAGGACAGAUCAGAAGGCCAGCCCUCGACACUCGGGGUGCUGGUGACAUUGUCACCUGGACAACCCUCCGGAAGCCGGUUGAUCUGGUGACUUUGAAAAGGCCAUGACCUUUGACCUGGCCUUUCCACUACCAGGAAUCUGUGAUGAGGGGCAUUCAGGCACUGGGUCACAGGGCCGUCCACUGGAGGGGUGUUGACAAUAGAGAAAAUAGGAAAACGACCCAAAUGGUCAGCAGGAGGUGAGCAGCUAGGUGAGUGAGGACGAGAGAGCUGGCCCGUCCACAUGGCCCUCAACUCAGCUCCCGGGGCCCAGCGAAGGGGCCGACGCACACAUGCCAGAACGCUACGUGAAACAAGCCAAACAAGACGCCACGUGAUCGCUGGACAACUGGCUAAACUGCAUUACGGACAGCGAACUGGACGACAGGAUCGUCUCCAAGCUGAAUCUGCUGAAUUUGAUAACUCUCCUGUGGUUAAGAGAAUGUUCUUGUUCUCCAAGGCUGAAAUGUUAGGGAGUAAAGGAGCGUAAUGUCUGCAAUUUACUCUCAAAUGAUGCAGAAAAACUAGUCUGCAUAUUGAAAGAGCUAAAGAUAAAGCAAACGUAGAAAAAUACUUAGAGGGGGUAAAUCUGGCAAGGCAGCCAGCUUCCAAAUGGGCCCCCAGCAAUCCCCACCUCCUCAGGGUCCGUCUCCUCCCACGGGGUACCAGGGCUGGUCUCGCUGACCAAUAGGAUUUGGCGGAAGUGAUCAUAUGCUAAUUUUGAGAUUAGGUUAUGAAACAGACUGCGGCCUCCAGCCUGGGCACUCUCCCGUUCUCUUUCCAUUGGAUCGUUGCCUCUGGGGGAAGCCAACUGUGGAGCCUGUCAGGAGUCCCCCCUUUGAAGAAGCCCAUGUAGGGAGAAGCUGAGGCACCCCGCCAACAGACCACCUGCCUGAGCCAUCUUGAAAGUGCAUCCUCCAGCCCAGUCAAGCCUUCUGAUGACCACGGCCCUCGCUGACAUCUUGACCAUCAGCACAUGAGAGAACGUGAACCAGAACCCUCCAGCCAAACCACUUCCAGGUUCCUGAUCCUUAGACACUGUGUGAGACAGAUACACCCGCACGUGUGGGAAAUGACAGGUGCACAAGGUUUUUACGACAGCUCUGAAAGGAGGGCCGAGGCCAGGACGUGGUCAGGCGUGCAUUGAAACAGCAUUUACUGGGGUGCGAAUGACAGUCCACCCCUAAUCGUACAGAGGAAGACUUUGUGACCAUCACAAGGACUGGGGACACUGUCCGUGUGCUGCCAGAGUCAGCGUCUCAUGUCGCCUUCCGGGUUAAGAGGGAAGGAGAGAAAAGUUAAUCCCUGUUUGCUCCAGGCUGUGUGUGCACAGAGACCCAGAAGGAUGAACACAAGACAAGUCACCGUGGAUGUCUGGAGGGGCGCGUGGGCUGGGAAUCAGGCGUGGGUGGGACACUUCCCCCUUUUCAAAAAGCUUUUUGAUGAUCGAACCCUGUGAACGCAAAACCUAAUUUAAAAAAUGAAAACGUUUUAAAUGGACGGGAAGGAAAAAAAAAGGGCUGAAAGGAACCUUUACACCAAAAAUGUUACCAGCGGCUUCUGCACAGUGGUAUUCUGGGUAAUUUAUUUCUCUUCUUUGUUCUUUUCUGUCUUUUUUAAAUCCACUAAAGGAAAUUAUUUUUAUAAUCACUUUUUUAAAACUACCACAUGAGUGGAAUGUUUACCAAGAGAUUCCAACUGCCCAGGGGUAGAUGGCAAGACGCUCAGCUUCACAUGGAAAUAGAGAAAAGGGCAGGAGGGCUGGCAUUUUUUUGGUUGGGCGGAGAGCAAGCCGGCUGCCAAUCUGGGGUUGAUGAAGAAGCCGGGAGAAGCCGUUGCUGGCACAGACCCCGCACAGGAGCAACCGAUUUAGCGCUUUGCAUAGAACGUCUGGAAAGAGCAUAGAGCCUCUGAUUCAGCAAUUCGAUUUCUAGAAAUUUACCCUACAGGUGUUUUCACACAUAUGUGCAAAGCCCAGGUCCAGAAAUAUUUAUAGAAGUGUCAUUUAUUAACAGCGACACGGGAAAGCACUCUAGAGAUUCAUGAAGAGGGGACCGAAUAAAUAAAUCACGCUGUGUUCAUAUAAUGAAAUACGAUCAAAAUGCAGCAAAUCUUGGCCCGCAGGCCAAACUCUGCCUGUCGCCCCCGCCUUGGCCCACCGUUUUGUAUGGCCUCAAGCUAAGACUCGUUUUUAUAAUCUUAAACGGUGAAAAGAAAUCAAUAAAAGGAUGCUAUUUUGUGACUCGUGAAAAUGACAGGAAAUUCAAAUCUCUGGGGCCACAAAUAAAGCUUUAUCGGAACUCGCCUGUGCGCGUUCACUUCUGCGUGGUCUAUGGCCACUUCUGCACUAUAAUCACAGAGACCCACAAAGGCUAAACUUUUAGUUCACUGUUGGCCCUUCGUAGAAAGUAUAGAAAGUACGGGCCCUUUAUAGAAAGUGCACUUGGCACCCUUCACUUUGCAGAACUUUCAAAACGCCCGACCCCAUUCCAGCGCUGUAUGUAUAUUAAUUUAUCUAUCCCUCGCAACAACCCUAUGAAGUAGAUGCUAUUAUUGUCACCUUCAUUUUGCAGAUAUGGAAACUGAGGCACAGAGAGGUAAGCCACUUGCCUAAGGUCGCACAGCCUCUAAGUGGCAGAGUCGGGGUCCCAGAGUCCCUGUUCCUAGCUACCACCCCCCAACCACUCUCCCGGACUGGUUUUCAAACCACACCUGACGCCCGUGAGUAAUGAGCCUCCCCUUCAACUCGCCGUGGCGCACGCGGGACAGGGCGGG
ensembl:lncRNA